CCUACGGGUGGCAGCAGUGGGGAAUAUUGGGCAAUGGGCGCAAGCCUGACCCAGCAACGCCGCGUGAAGGAAGAAGGCUCUCGGGUUGUAAACUACUUUUAUCAGGGACGAAGCAAGUGACGGUACCUGAUGAAUCAGUCACGGCUAACUACGUGCCAGCAGCCGCGGUACUACGUAGGUGGCAAGCGUUAUCCGGAUUUACUGGGUGUAAAGAGCGUGUAGGCUGGAGAGCAAGUCAGAUGGGAAAACCAUGGGCUCAACCUGUGGCUUGCAUUUGAAACUGUUUAUCUUGAGUACUGGAGAGGGAGACAGAAUUCCUAGUGUAGCGGUGAAAUGCGUAGAGAUUUGGAGGAAUACCAGUGGCGAAGGCGGUCUGCUGGACAAAAACUGACGCUCAGGUGCGAAAGCGUGGGGAGCAAACAGGAUUAGAUACCCGGGUAGUC
rnacentral:rRNA from 1 species